UUUAAAGAGAGUUUGAUCCUGGCUCAGGACGAACGCUGGCGGCGUGCCUAAUACAUGCAAGUCGAACGAACGGAGGAAGAGCUUGCUCUUCCAAAGUUAGUGGCGGACGGGUGAGUAACACGUGGGCAACCUGCCUGUAAGUUGGGGAUAACUCCGGGAAACCGGGGCUAAUACCGAAUGAUAA
rnacentral:rRNA from 1 species